rnacentral:rRNA from 1 species
ACCUCAAAUCAGGUAGGAACACCCGCUGAACUUAAGCAUAUCAAUAAGCGGAGGAAAAGAAAAUAACAAUGAUUCCCCUAGUAACUGCGAGUGAAGAGGGACAAGCUCAAAUUUUAAAUCUAUCGGGUUUUACCCGAUCG